CGCUCCUGUAAAUGAAGGGAGUCAAAGCUCGCCAACAUCUUAAUCGUUUCAUAAUAUAAUGCUUUAACAUUCAAUUGAAGUAUGACAAACUGUAACUCAUUACAGUAAACUCUCUGGACUAGUUUUUGCAACAAGAUUCACAUUUUGUGACCUCCCAUUACUCUACCAAGAGGGUUAUGACGUACCGGGUCAACUCGGCAAUGUAUUUGCCCUGUAGCUCCUGCACUUUUUCGUCGCUUGGAUGCGGAUCCCGUUCGACAUGGAUAGGCUUUCCAACUAUGGUUUUGAGUCAGUCCUAUAUCUUGUGGGAGCAGUACAGCAAGGGGACGUACCGACAGAAACGAUAGGAUGACGGAACGGCUGCGAGGGCAUGCAUCAGUAAUCAUUACGUGGGAGCGGAUGGUUUGACCUACCAUUAGUCCAUAAUUGUCUGUAAAGGGAACAUAAACCAAUCAGUAUUAUUCCUGAAGACAUCGACAGAACGAGAGCUUACAGUUGAAUAGUCUAACGAAGUGUUCGUCAACAAAAGUCUAGUUAAUAAUGGGCAACAAACUUACCCUCGCCCAUAAAAUAGUGGCAGAGUGAAACCAAACACCUUCUGGAACUUCUUCUGCAGCUUGUAUACCAUCGACCCUUUAGCAUUGGCUCUGUAUCUCUGUCAACUUCUGUUAUUUAUCUUUCCCUCUUUACACUAACAAUUGAGCAUAGAUCUACAAGCCACUCGAGUCAGCCUCGUCAUAUACCAUGACCAUCACACCCUGGAACUAAACUCACAUCAUUCUCGCCGAAUGAGAAAACCGGCACCAAGUCCGCGCCCUCCCGAAUCGCCAUUUUCACAAACCCAAACCUCUUCUUCAGCGUCAAAUCAGCCGUGCCAGGAUGCGCGGACAAACUCUCAGCAGCUCCGCCAAUGACAAUGGCGAUGGCGCUACCAGGGCCUUGGGAGAGGAUAUUGGCGCAAGAACGUUUGGAGACUGAGCCGCAGCCGUGGAUCAUGAGCAGUUCCCGAUAAAAGGGGAUUUUAAAGUUGGAUCCUAAUGUAGGGAGAUGUGGUUUGAUACCAGGGAAGUACUCGGAGAAGUUUGUGCCUUCUGUGGCAAAGGUCGCGAAUGCCCCCCUGCGAAAGCGUUCAGUCGAGUCAAUCAUUGCUGUUUACACUUACAUUCCAAUAAUACCGUGGGGGUGGUAGCCGAAGAGGUAAGGUCUGUUCGGAGGAAGUUCGGCUUCCUUCAGCAACACCGUUAGUAGUGACCGGAUUUUGCCAAUAUUAGACUGGUAAAUAACGUACUUUCACGAUACUGAGUAUUGAGAGAAUUAAUCAGCAAAUAAAGUAAUGUGGUUCUACUGUCUACAUACCUGCAGGGAUAAUAAUCUGUUCAUUGAAAAUCAGUAGAGUCAUGAUUGGUUUUCGAUUGGAAUGGCUCACCAGAAAAAUACUUCCAAAUGAAGCCUCUUCGUGCCCAUUCCUUUGGCCUUCCUCCAUGGAUCGGUGCUCUGUCAAAACUUAUCCAGAUAAAGUAGGGUAUAAGGAUGAGCCAUGCUGGGGGAAGUGAUCUAUCCAUCGUAUGUGAUCAGCCUCACAAUUCCCUUCCACAUUAAACUGUUUUGGGAAUUACAGUAAUAAUAGAAGGACAAUCAUGCUUAUUGGCAAGAGAAGAGCCCAGAGAGCCACAGCGGCUGUCUGUAGUCGUCGAUUAGGUGGGAUAUGUAAGGGGGCAAACCUGUUCAUCCAUUAUCAAUAUCCCUGCACCGCCCGCGUAUGUCAAGUAAACUUACUUUCGUUCAAUUCCAGCUUCCAAAGUAUCCCUAAAAUCAUCCAACUUCAAAGUACCCAUCAGCGGACUCUUUUUCCCCUUUCCCUCCCCUGUCUUGGUAUCCUCAGGCGACGACAGUCUGCCGUUUCUUGCGAAAUACCCCUCAUCUUCUUUCGAUUCUUCAUCGUGUGAUAUCUGAACAUUUUUUCCUAAUGCUGCCCUGCGCCGGAGCCCUUCUUGACGGCUGCUGAGAGUCGCAUGUGGAUCGGUAUCGUUAUUUGAUCUCCUGUUCUCCCUCUCCUCGAAUUCUAACCUCUCGUAAGGAUUGAGAUCAAGGGGAUGCGGUCCCGGGCUGGGCGGUUUGGGGG
rnacentral:sRNA from 1 species